rnacentral:rRNA from 1 species
CAGUAGCCGCGGUAAUACGUAGGUGGCAAGCGUUGUCCGGAAUUAUUGGGCGUAAAGGGCUCGCAGGCGGUUUCUUAAGUCUGAUGUGAAAGCCCCCGGCUCAACCGGGGAGGGUCAUUGGAAACUGGGAAACUUGAGUGCAGAAGAGGAGAGUGGAAUUCCACGUGUAGCGGUGAAAUGCGUAGAGAUGUGGAGGAACACCAGUGGCGAAGGCGACUCUCUGGUCUGUAACUGACGCUGAGGAGCGAAAGCGUGGGGAGCGAACAGGAUUAGAGACCCCUGUAGUCCCUGUCUCUUAUCC